CCUACGGGCGGCUGCAGUGGGGAAUAUUGCGCAAUGGGCGAAAGCCUGACGCAGCGACGCCGCGUGAGGGAUGAAGGUCUUCGGAUCGUAAACCUCUGUCAGCAGGGAAGAACGGUCACGGGGCUAAGCAGCAGUGAAUUGACGGUACCGGCAAAGGAAGCACCGGCUAACUCCGUGCCAGCAGCCGCGGUAAUACGGAGGGUGCGAGCGUUAAUCGGAAUUCCUGGGCGUAAAGCGCUCGUAGGCGGUAUGUCAAGUCAAGGGUGAAAUCCCCGCGCUCAACGUGGGAACUGCCUUUGAACCUGUCAACCUGGCGUGUGUGUGCGGCUAGUGGACUUCCUGGUG
rnacentral:rRNA from 1 species